rnacentral:rRNA from 1 species
UCCAGGCCCUACGGGGCGCACCAGGCGCGAAAACUCCGCAAUGCGGGAAACCGUGACGGGGUUACCCCGAGUGCUCCCCUUGUGGGAGCUUUUCCCCGCUGUAAAAAGGCGGGGGAAUAAGCGGGGGGCAAGUCUGGUGUCAGCCGCCGCGGUAAUACCAGCCCCGCGAGUGGUCGGGGUGUUUAUUGGGCCUAAAGCGGCCGUAGCCGGCCCGGUAAGUCCUCCCUGAAAGCCCCAGGCUCAACCUGGGGAGCGGGAGGAUACUGCCGGGCUAGAGGGCGGGAGAGGCCGAGGGUACUCCCGGGGUAGGGGCGAAAUCCUGUAAUCCCGGGAGGACCACCAGUGGCGAAGGCGCUUGGCUGGAACGCGCCUGACGGUGAGGGCCGAAAGCCGGGGGAGCGAACCGGAUUAGAUACCCGGGUAGUCCCGGCNGUAAACGAUGCGGGCCAGG